AGGCAAUAAGCUUAAAAACUUAUUGGUUACAGAACCUCAGAUUGUUCCAUACGCGACGGAAACUGAGUAUGGCUGCAGGUAAAAAUGUAUUAUUUCUUUGCUGCUGAUAAUACUUUCAAAGUGUAAACUAUGCUUUUAAAUUCCAAAACGUUACAAAAAAAUAUUGCCUUUUAACCGAGAUUCACUUUAUUAUCUGCAGGCCUUAAGUUUUCAGUAACAAACUGUUUGUUUUGCUUGUUUGAUAAGAAAGUUAUAUAUGUUUUAAAUGUAAAUAUAUUAUUCACAUGGAUACCUUACUUAUAUAAUACUAACAUAUCAAGAUUUGUGACAUUACACUGAAAAUAUAUAUCUGUAAAAUACAUUAUCCAUGCAACAUUGAAAAAUCUUUUGCAGUUUAUAUAACUAACCGUGCAACUGGCACUAUGGCAGUAUCCUAUUGCAACAGUGUAAUGCCUGUAUUGUUACUAUAAGACAGCCUUUAAAGCAGUCAUGACGGCCACAAUUUUGCCAGUGUUAAAAUGUAUCUAUGACUGACACUUGCGGGAAUAGUCACUCUUGUGAGAAUUAGCAAGAAUUAAAAGUGAAUUAAAGAUGAAUUCACCGUGAACUUCAAAUUUAAAGGCCAAAAAAUGUCAAACUGGAAGCAUUAUUUUCAUUCGGCUCUUUUGCCAUACAUUGGAAAUUCACUUUGAGUUCACUCUGAAUUUCCAACAAUUCUCGCUUUAGUGAAUAACCCUGGUAAACUUGUCAUGAUUAAAUAAUUUUUCGUCAGUGUAUUCUUAUUUUGGACAUUUGAGGAAUUUGUCACUGAACUCUCUUUCAGCUAACAUUUUGAGCGUAGGCAGUAAUCUCAACACAAAUUGCUGUCUAGCAAACAAGUCCCUAUCCUCUUAAGUACUGAACUGCAACAAGACUGCUACAGAGGCUAAUGAUUAAUAGUAUUAUUUUUGUCCAGACUCAAAUUAUGUAUUUGUCAUAAAUCUUUGUUCAACUGUAAAAUUACCUCAGUGACAACUUUAUGAAGUGAAAUACAAUUAAAGGUAAAAUACAGUUUGAAAACCUUCUUCAAUUACCGGUUCUGUGGAAGGCAGUAACCAUAUAGUAAAAAGUUUAGUUCAAGAAAUUGCCCUAGCCACUUAAUAUGAUGUAUUUGUUCUUACUAUUGGGAACCCACAAAAAUGACAUGGAUACUCAUUUUUGUGUCCAGUGCCAGGGGUAUAAACCAGUAAACUAGAACAAAAGAUGGAGGAACUUAAAUUCCAUCUUGUGUUUAAAUUUAUAUAUGUAGAAUAAUUAUUAUUAUUUUAAAAAAAAAUUGUUAUAAACAUCAUUUAAUAGUACACUGGCUGUAUGUUUCAAAUACAUGUUAAACAUGUUUGAUGGUCUUCUGAACGAACAUAAUUUAAUAAAAAUAUCUAUUAUCACUUGUGCUUGAGUUUAAAAACAGAAAUCAUCUGCUGUGGCACAGGAAAUUAAAUAUGGCAUGAAUAAUAACAUAAUUGCAUCAAAAAUGUUGUACAUCGAUAUGUGCAUUUUCUUGAUCGUUAGAGAUUAGAGUUAAAACGAAAAAAAUAGCCCUAUAAUAGUUAUAAGUGGUUUAUAGUCUCUAGUCUUUAUAAAUGCAAACUUUAAGCAUUACGUUUUAAAUGUAAUAAGUAUUUAAUACUAAUACUGUAUAUAUUCUUAAGUAAUAUAUAUAUAUAUGGAUUUAAUGUUAAUCAGCUAAAGCCAGGAAAUAUAAAUGUUAUAAAACAUAACAAAAAAACUUUAGAUAUAUUGUGACAAUUUUAAUAUUCUUAAUUAGGAUAAUAAACUGGGAUGUUGUAUUCACUCUGUCCCAGGAGUAACUUCCCACAACAAAUUGUUUAUUUAAUAGGCGAGUCCUUCUUUAGGGCAACUAAGAUCCAUAGAACACUGGCAAAAGCCACUGAAGUUAGUUUUAUAAAAAAAUUACUUUGUCAUAUAUUAUCUUUCUCAUUAAAUAAUGAAGAAUCAGAAGUGAUUUUAUCUUAUUUAAUAAUCUGUAAUUAUUGGGUAUGUAACAUACAGUAUUGGGUACCUUUAAAUUAAAUAGUAAAGUUUAUGUUAAUUAUAUAGUUUCAUUUUAAAGACUUUAUGUAUAUAAAGGUGACAACUUAUUUGUCAUUGACCAUUUUUCUACUAGGUAAAUGAGGAGGAGAUUUUAACCUACUGUUAAGGAGUUCAAGUAAUGACAAAUACAUAGACACAAAAAAUAAAGUCAAACAGAAUCACUGCUGAAGUAUUUAUUUUUCCUUCAAAAUGUAAAACGUAUUUACAGCAAGGUACGUAAAUGUAUGCAUCACGAACAAACGUUGCAUGAUUCAGAAUGCUAACUAGUUGUUAUAACCAAUACUCUUAUUCAUACUUUAUGUUUGACCUGGGCAUUUUGACUCCAGUGAAAGCAAAUCCAAUCUACAUAUAUAGAUAGGGCAUACUUUAUUUUUGAGGAAGACUUAGUAGUGCCAUUUGUCAGCAGUGUACUACAUGAGAACCUUUCACCAGUUGCAUAUGGCUGAAAGGCAUGAUGGGUACAUUGAGCAGGUCCCCACCCUUAACUGUUAUUUGCCCCCUCCCACCGUCCAAAAGACGUGGGUAGGACAGAUGGGCAGAGUGACAGUCCACGUUCUCUGAUUUAUAGUUAUUUAAUCUAAAAAGACAAAACCAUGAAAAGGGCUGAGAAUCAAAUUGCAGCUAUGAUUAAAAAAAAAAAAACUAAAACAAUAAGCCAUUUUUCCAUUUUUAACUUGUUAAAUCUGAAUGGUAAAAUUAAGGCUAAAACAGCUGAUUUGGAAAACUUCUCCAACCCAGCUUUUGUUACAGCUAGACUAUUUUGGCCUCAAUUUUGCUAUUCCGAUUUGAUUUGAUAAAAAUGAAUGUUUAGUGAAUAACCUUUAUAAUGCAGCACAAUAGAGUUUACUCAUUAAAUACCAAACUGUAGAAACCAAAUUGCAAAAUAUAGGUUAAAAUAGCCAAGUUUUGACUAAUGAUGGGUUGAAGUAUUUUUCUAGAGCACUUUUUUACAAUGCUUAAUUGUAGUUUUUAUAAAAUGAAAUCAUUUGUAUGGACAACUGUGCCUGUAGAUGGAAAAAGCUUCUGGAGCGCGCUGGAUAUUUUCUUUUGCAUUGGCAUAAAUAUAAACCACAGGCUAUCUAGUAAUUUACAAAUAAGUUUCUAUUUUUAAAAAGGUGGCUAUUUCUAAAGAAAGGUCACAUCUACCACACCAUUACCACAACACAUUGUCAAGUAGUGAAAAUUAGAACUCAAAAUGAAAGGUAUAUUUUACCUUAGGCCUCUUCUUUAAGUGGGUCACCUUGACUUUACUGUAAACUGUUUUUUAAAAUUUGGUUUUGCUUUUUACGAAAACCUCUUUUUGACACACUUUUAAGUUUUAUGUGUUGAGUGUUAUAAACAUACGUGUUUAUUUUUGUAAUAUAAACCACUAAAAUAGUGGUUGUGGUAUCCUUACAAUGAGUUUGCAACAUGCAGACCAAAAUAGGCAGGUUGUCAAAGUUUUCCUAUUCAGAUAUUUUUUUCAGAUAUAUUUUAUGAUUCUUUUGCAAUUCCAUUGUCAGUUUGCCACAACACACUUGGUAAGAAUUGCACAGGAAUAAAAAAUAAUUAAAAGUGAUUGUCAAACUUUAUGCUAAGAGAGCCUAAUUAGAAAACCUUUUAGAGUUAAUUUAGUUGUUUUUUUUCCUAUUUUGGCCUUAAAAGAACACUAUAGGGUCAGGAACACAAACAUGUAUUCUUGACCCUCUUGUAUUAAAGCCACCAUUGAGGUGGUUUGCCCCUUCUCCCUUAGCCCCUUGCCUGAAGGGGAUUAUUAUACUCACCUGAACAACUACAUUAAAAUUUGAAAUUCACUUUUCACAACAAUUGUCACUCUAGCGAAAAAUCUUGACUGUUAAAAUUAAUAAAAAUAAAAAAAACCCUCUGAGUGGCAAUUCAAAAAUAAUAGUUGUUUUUUUCCUUUAAAUGGCAAGAAAUUAUUCUAAAUGUCACUAAUAAGCACAAAUCUAUUUGGCCAACCAAAUCAAAUUAAGUCAUUACGUUUUGAAAAGAAAUUGAUUCUGUGUUACAUUAAGUAUAUAUAUAUUUAAACCCCUUAAGGACCAAACUUCUGGAAUAAAAGGAAAUCAUGACAUGUAACACAUGUCAUGUGUCCUUAAGGGGUUAAAAAAGAGAGAGAAAAUCCCAUCCCUACCUUUAGUAUAUGACAGGAUCCUUCAGCCAAAUGCAUUCACCUUGGGCCAAAUAGUGCUUGGAAACCUCUAUAAAGACUGUCAUCUUCCUUGUUUCAAUCCCUGCACAGUGCAGUAACAUCAUUAGACCAACUAACAUUCAAACACUAUCUGACCAAAUGUGCAUAUUUAUGGCUAAAUGAUAAUGUCUUUUACUAAAUGCAGAAGGGAUAUUUUACUUCAUAUAAAUUACAUAUACUUCAUUUAAAAAAAUUAUCUAUUUCCUUUCAAAACUUGAGUAAAGGUUUAUUAUAUUAAAUAAAUAGUGUUGAGGUGACUUCUCCUUUAAACUAUAAUUUCAUGAUUACUGUUGCAUAUGACUUAGCAAUGUGUCUAGUAUAAUCCUAGAAUCUUGAUGACCAUAAGUGGAUAGAUUUUGAGAACACACCCACUAAUGUCAAGCAAUUUAAGAUGGAAACUGUCCCUUUACGGCUUAUGGGUUUGUCCAGAGGUAUUGCCUGGUGCAGGGCUAUUUAGGUGACUUUAUCACUUACUGAUAUGUGAAUCUGUAAGCUAGAACAAGACUAAAGUAUUUUAUUUUCACAGAUUCAUUUCUAAACACAUUUAUAGGCAGAUUAUUGAGAGUAUUAUUGCUACAAAGAACUGUUCCAUACUCAUACACAUAAAAAAUUGGAUGUGCAGAAAAUUGGGAACAUCUGACGAGCAAAAUGGAGCAGCUAAACAAUUGAAAGGUUUGAUCUAUAGCUAGCUAUAAUUACUUAAUUUAUUUAUAUCCUACACAAUCAUUCAAAUACAAAUUAUUUGUUUACUGCUAUGACCUAGUUUUUAGUGUCGAGUUCAAGUGUUUGAUAGUAGUUCAUAUGUUAAUACAUAUCAUAGUAACUCAAGUUGGUUUAAACCCUAAACCUGUAAGUAUGGGUAAUUAAAAAGGUAACUACAAAUUCUAGUCUAAAAUACCUAAUCUAGUCUACUCUUAAAAUUGCAUUAUUUUUGCCAAUUCUCCGUAAUUCUUGAUUUUAGGGAUUAAAAACAUAAUUUUCAAGUACUUUUCAGUCCUGACCUAUUUUUGUUACAUUUGUCAGUCAAUUGAAUUAAAUGCAUAAAAUAAUGCAAGGAUUAUUAAAGGAUUAGCCAAUCUUUGCAAAGCAAGGGUUUAGCACAUUUGUUCAAUGUUUUUUUUCUCACAUAAAUGAUUGUUUUAAGUACCUGUCCGUUUGCACAUUACCUUUCAUGUGCCUUCAUGCAAGCGAAAGAUAGUUGUAAAUACUAUUUUCACACUGGCAGCACCAGUCAUGGGAUGGGGCCUUUCUAUCAAGUGUACAGCAAUGGCUGCAUACAUGAGCCCUCCCUUAUAGUAAUAUGGGGGUCUUAUUGACUUAUUUAAUUUUAUUGUAUUAAUUUUUUUUAAUGUGUUGGGUGGCUAGCCACCACAUAAUAAACUCUGGCCCCGCCUGGUGGCUGGCUAGCCACCACAUAAUAAACUCUCGCCCCGCCGAGGAUUUUUUAAACUAAUUUGCCCACUGUGCUUUCCUCUGGAGAAGCUGAAACAUCUCCCACAAUGCUUUGCCAGCUGGGGAGGGAUCUACCAUGUGCCCAUCCUUGCAGACCUGCAUUUGUGAGCAGGGUUUGUGUUUGAAUGUAAGCCGAUCAGGUAAUCAUUUCAAAUCACAAACUCUAAGCCGAAAUGUAGCUGAAUUUUUCAAAACCAACGAAACACACAAUGGAUGACCAUGUUUGUUUUGAUUUGUGCCAAGGUUUCAAAAAAAGACAUUAUUAAUGGGAAAAAAAGAUGAUUAGUGGCUAGGGGACAGUCAACACAUUUUGGUUUUAUUCAGAAAUCAAGUGACCAAUAGAGAGGAAAAAAGGAGGAAUAGUAUAAACAAUCUAUAUGUUAUAAAUUUAAUAAAAUAAAGAUAGAUUUAUUUAUUCCUCUACUGUUAACUUUGUUUUACUUGAUCUGUGAAUGAAAAGGCAAGAAAAUCAGCCUAUUAGCAUACUGCAAAAUAUAUCGGGAACAUAAUUUAACUGUAUAUAUUGUGUAUUUAUUUUGCAGUACACUGAUCGGCCCAUUUUCAAACUGUUAUUGGCUUGUUCGAAUGCUUCCCUGAAUAUUUUGCCAUAGACGAUAUUCGACUGAACCAAACCAUCACAUGAACGAGCAUAAGACAUCCCAAACAUAAUUAAAAUUUCACUUGUAUGAGAGCGCAAAGAAUAAAGUUAAUAACACUAUUAAAACAUCAAUAUAAAAAAAUCUGAAUAAGAUAAGCAGCUAUACACACAAAAAACUUCCCCAGAUUUCAACAAACAGUUUUAAAAAAUUCAGUGUCAGCGCUUAGUGUUUUUUCCCCCAAAUAUAAUUAGAUAGAGGUACAAUUAGUGAAUUAUCUUCAAAAUAUAUGUCCACGUUCUCUAUUUCAGUUAUAUUUGAUAAAACCACUUAAAAUAUUGUUCAAAAUUAAAAAAGAUAGAAGGCAGGGUGUCUGUAUUCAGUAUCCAGUGUAACCCACCUCUCCCUUAUAGGAACUCUUAAACUUUAAAACAGUGGUGCUUGUUUCCAAGGACCACAAUAAAGCCACAAUUUACGUUUAAAAGUGUUGCUUGGCUCUGCAGACAGCUCAGUGCGCCGGAGCCGGAGUCAGUCACUCACGCUUCUGAAGAAGUCAGGACCCGCUUAAAUGCCACUGAUGCCUGGAGCUUCUAAAACACAAAUCACCGUUUGGCGAAAUCAACGCAUUUUGCCCACUAUAACGGGCUUUGUUAAGAUAAACGCCGCAGUGGAUGUAAGGUGUAUAUAUAUCUGGUCCUGUAUUUAAAUUUUUAAAGCGACACAGUCCUUAACAGUUCAUCGGGUCCUGACUUCGGCGUUCUUUAGAAGCGUGAGUGACUGACUCCGACUACGGUGCACAGAGGUGUCUGCAGAGCCGAGCAGCACCUACAUACUGAACUGUAAAUUGUGCCUUUAUUGUGGUCUUUGGAAACAAGCACCACCAUUUUAUAGAGUCCCUAUAAGGAAGAGGGGGGUUAUAUUCAUUAAAAGUUACAGUACUGUACUAGGUUUCGUUUUUGCAUCUUUUUAUAGAUAUAUCGAACUAAGGAGAAACUUUGUUGCACUGGAGAGUGAAUACAGACACUCUGCCUUCUAUCCUUUUUAAUCUUGAACACUUAAUGAUUUAAUGAUUUUAUCAAAUAUAACUGAAAUAGAGAACUUAGACAUAUAUUUUGAACAUUAUUCACUAGUAGUACCCAUAUCUUAUUAUAUUUAGGAGAAGAUGCACUAAGUGCUGACACUUUGGAUUUUUUUAAAUAAUUUUAAUUUCAGGAAUGAUUCAGCUGAACCGAAUUUAACCUUUGUUCUUAAGUGUAUUAAAUAGGAAUUUGUUUGUCUCCAAGAAGUCAUGAUAAAGUGAAAGGUCUUGUUUCUGAGGAUAGAUUUCCUCUGAAUUUUUCAGAGGCAUAUGACAUCUAACCCCAGGGGGAGUAUAUGUUGUAUGCAACAUAAAUUAAUGUUUAGAUGCGGGCAGGGCCAGAUUAAGAGCCCAGUGGGCCUGGUGCUGAAAAUUAUGAUUGGCCUAAUUACAGAAUCUUAUCGACAAAAAACACUAAAACACUUCCAAGUGUCAUGUAUCUGAUGGAGAUGGUGCUGGAGGGAAAGAAAACAGCAGAUAAAAAAAAACAAAACAAAAAAAAACCCUAUGCUAAUCUCUCUCUAAUUUAUGUUUUUAUCUUUUAAGUGAAUCCAUAACCCCUAACAGCAGUGUCCAGUGAAGCAGUAAGUCAAUGGGCACGGUAAAUGGGUGUGCCACUGACACAAAUCACUUAACCUGCCAAAAGGGGCGAACAUGCCCAAAAAGGAGGCAUGUCUGCCCAAAGAAUUGGAAGGCCAGCCUGGCAUGAAUGCAUGUCAGGCUGCCUGCCAAUCAUGCAAGCUAGCCAACUACUAUGCAGACAGCACCCUAAGCUUGGCAUAAAUGUGUCUAAUGAUGCGCUCGCUCAACACUUUCUAAGGACUGUCCCCUAGCACUCGCUGGUUCACUUGUCUCCUUACCUUAUUACUAGCAGGCAGAAGCUCCUGGUAUAUAGUCUGGGACAGAGAAAAGCUGUAUGUAGUGAGUGUAGAAGAAAGGGAAGUGUCUCCCUGUCUUCCAGUGUCUCAAGUCUCCAACUGUCUCAUCUUUACCUAUGUAUCAGUUUCCCCAUGUCUCCCAGUGUCCCCAUGUCGCCCAGUCUCCCAGUGCCCCCCAUGUCUCCCAGUGUCCUCAUGACUCAGUGUCCCCAUGUGUCGAUUACCCUAGGUCUCACAGUGUCCUUAUGUAUCCCAGUGUCCCCUAGUGUCAAGUUACCAGGUCUCCCAGUGUCUCAAUGCCCUAUGUCUUCCAGUGUCCUCUUGUGUCUCCAUGUCGCCCAGUGUACCCAUGUCUCCCUAUGUACCCCAGUAUUCCCAUGUCUCCCAGUGUUCCCUAGUUUCUGUGUCCCCAUGUCUCCCAGGGUCCCCAUGUAAGUAGGACACUAGGAACAAAGAGACAUGGGAACACUGUGAGGCAUGGGGACACUGAGACAGGGGACAUUGGGAGACCUGGGGACACAGAGAAAUUUGGACAUUGAGUCACUUGGGGCACAGAGACAGUGAAAUACCAGCUAGGUGGAAACCCUAAGAGUAGUGUGUAAAAAUAAUUAUUUUUUUAAAUCAAUGGGCCUAUUUCAUGGGCAUGGGCCUGGAGCUGCAGCUCCAUCAGCCCCUAUGUUAAUCCGGCCCUGGAUGCGGGCCCCUGAGGUGGAGCAAUCGGUAAGUAGAGUGGGCCAGUGCUCCACUCCUCAAUUUACAGAUAACUAAGAGAAAUAAGGUCCAGGCCAGGUGUUUAGACUGACUCCAACCCAUUGCUCAGCUGAAAGAAAUUAGCAGUAGUUGAAAAUCUGGCAGGUAAGAGGGAUUUUUGGGUCCUCCUGUGAGAGUUCAAAAUCAGCAGGCUAAGCUGCAAGUGAGAUUUGAAGUGCAACAGACUGAUAUCCUGUAGGGUUGGUGAAACCUGAGUGUUUGGUUUGGUUUAGUUUAGUUUAACCCUUCACAGAUAGGGAUAUAUAUAUAUGUAUGUAAGUUAGAACUCAGAUGAGCUAGGAUUGUGUUUGUUUUUGCUUCUAAUGCUGUGUCUGGAAGUGAAUUGCACAAUAAAGUGUUUGAAUUCUGUUAAUCCUACAAGACUGUGCACAGGAUCACACUACAUGCUAGAAAAAUCCAUGUUGCAUCUGUCAUGAUUACUUCUGCAGCUCCCUCUCCCUUCACCCUUUACCAAAAUAAAGAAAAUCUGUGUAAUGAACAUUUAUAAACUUUCUAUAAACUUGGUCAUAUUGUAUUGUUAUACAUGCCUCUCAGCUAGGCAAGUUUCUUCAGUGUUCACUUCCCAUCCAUCUUACCUACCCAUGUCAGUUUCAAUCAGUCUACUAACAGACACAAGGAAACCUUGUGCAGCAGUAGGAGAAUGCAACACAAUACCUGAGCCUGCUCUGCAUGAAUCACACUGAUCAGACUCCCUCACUUCUCAGGCUGUUGCCAGGUGGAGAAAUCUAACAACUGCAAAUGUGUGACUCUGUCAGUCAUGGCCAAUGCACUUUUCCAGCAUUCCUAGGGAUAGAACACUGAUUGGUUAGAUCAGUGUGCUUUCUCUGGAGUUGGUGUGGAAAGCAUGAGAAAGAAGAAGCAGGUAAAUAUAAAAUAUAUCAAAUUUACCUGCUUUUUUCAACUGGCAGAGUAAGGCAAAUGUCUCAUUCGAAGCUACAGCUUUUGAAUGAGACAGUUGUCUCAAAGUAUUUUGUGUCCCUUUAAUGGCUGGAAACAGGGGAGGGAUAGUAACAUUUGUACUAAAAAUGCCUCCUCCACCCUUUUUCACACACAAUUCACAGAUCAGUGUUGAUAGUCCCACUCGUGUGAGCAUGCAGUAUAUGUGGAUUUUACCAAUGGGGUUGUUGGAUUUCAAGGUGUGCCAUCAAACAUAUAACCUUGCAACCAUCAUCCAUAUGACCUAAAAGAUGUAGACAAGUUUUUCCUUGAUUCCAUUGCCAAAUAUUAUCUGGUGCUUAUUAUGAAUGCCAUGAUUCACCCUGUGGUCAAUGGCAAACACCUCCAGGGGCAUCAUACAUAUUGAUUGUAGCCUGGAAGCCUGGUCAGCUUCAGAUACCACAGUUGACUGGUAAAUGCCCCAGUGGACUAGUACAGCCCUGAAAAGCACUGAAAGCACAGACCAUGCUAAAACCCACAUAUGGCCAGACUAGCAAAGGCUGUGUACAUUUCUUGCUUGCUGCAUUACUCCUACAGAACUGCACAAACAUCUUAAGUGGUUUGAGGCUGCAGCCCAUAAGCUCCUUUACAGCUCUCCCAUGCUAGUAACCCAGAUGGUAGUUGCCUCCCUGUCCCACGUCCCACGUCCCAGCCCUCCCAUGGCUGGCAAUGUUGCUGAGAGGACAACUAAUCAUGUCAAUGUUCUGGAGAACUCCUGCCUUCCAGGUCUUUCAUCUGGUCCCCAACAGCAUCAGGGAUAACGUUUGAUCUAUUUCAAAGGGUUUUUGUUUCAUAAAUACAUGUAUCGAUAGGUUUACUAUAUUGAGCAGUGCAUGAAGUUUCAUUAAGUACUGCAGAAUUAAAGAGUUAAUGCAAGUUGAUGCAGAGUUACUGAGACCUUUUAACUAGUGAUGUCCCAAUCAGGGCCACCAUCAGGGUGUGACAACUAUGAUGGUUGUCACUGGCCCAGUGAUCCUGGGGGCCCUGAUUGCUCAGAGAAAAUCAAAGUCUCCCUCUGAUAUUGUAAUAUGGUGCCACCGGCAGUGAAUACAAAGUCUCUGAAGACUUUGGUAUUUAAUGCCCGCCAAGAGUCACUUGGGGCCCGCCAGUGUGAGUCCAAUGUGCAUAUAUAUGUAGGGAGUAUCGCCAUAUAUAUAUAUAUGCAGUAUGGCCACUGCUGUGUACUAUAAUGAAGAGAGCCCUAGGGGACUCCAGAAUCCGCCUCCAGCAGUUUCCUGGAGCCUUGGCUGUCUGAGCAUUGCUGCAAGUUGCCAUGGCAAUGCUCUGUGUGUCAUGCAUGCUUGGCUUUUGAGAAAGGGAGAGGAACUGCUGCCUGGCUGCCAGAGGUGUAACAUGGAAUCUGGACCCCUGUCUUCAGUAUACAACAAAGCAGAAGCCUGCCCUGUGACAAAACAACACUGGGCUAUAGGAUUGUCCUAAUGCUUUUCCAUUGGAUUAUUUAGUUGGCAAUGCCCGAACAUGUUUGGAUGCUUCUUGAUUAGAGGUUCUCCAUCUGCAUUGCGCUCCAGAUAUAUGGAAUUUGUCUGAACAACCGAUUGCCCAAAAUUCAUCCGAAUCUCAAUUUGGACAAAACUGAAUGCUGAAGUUUGAAGAAUAGGGUAACACAGGGCAAGAUUUAUGAAGAAUAUAUUCAAUGUUGUCAUAAGAUGCAGAAAGUUCAGGAGGAAUUAGAUAAAAUGAAUUGACUUAAUCUGCAUUAAACUACUUAUUUGCAUACUACACACUUAAACCCCAAUGUUUUUCUGCACAUGCAACACCAGCUAGCAAAUGAAAUUUUAUGGUGCAAACUCUUGUAAAUCUUCCCCAUUAAGUUACUAUUUAGUAAAUGUAUUUAUCCUCUAAACUAAGCAGUGGUCCACAAACCAGUACUCAUGGCCAAGCAGCAGUACAAGUCUUGUCAUUAUCUCCUUUGGAAUAGAAAAGGGAAAUACUUUAAUCAUGGAUUGGGUCAGGGCCAUGAAGACUGAUUUUGGAAUCACUGCUCUAAUGGAAACAUAUCAAUGAUUAACCCCUUCAGGAAAACAGGCGUUUGGACCGCUGACGGUCCUGAACCGUCAUAGCAAAAAACGGACUGCGGGAAGCAAUCAAAGAUCGCUCCCACCGGUAUAACUCUGUAACUAUCUGCCAGACAUCCCAGGCAGAUAGUAACAGCCAAUUGUGGUGUGUGAGCGAUCCGCGAUCGCUCACAAUUGGCUGCUGUCAAAGUGGGUGUUACAAACACUCACUUUGACAGUGAUCUCUGCCACUCUCUCCUCUGUAACAUUUGUGAGGCGAGAGAGACAGAGAGCGUGAUAGUUUGUUGCAGCAGAAGUGAUCCAGAGCUUUAUACAGUAUCUAAAGUGAAUAAAAAAUCAUUUUUAACCCCUUCCCUGACAGAUCUGUUACAGCAGUGCAUUUGUACUGUCUCUAUUUUUUUUGCCCUUAAAGUGUUAAAUUUGUUUUAAAAAUCUGUGUCUUGGUCUGUCUUAGUCAGUCAGUUUCCUUCCCCCAAAUCUCUAUUAGAUUUUUGUGACAGGAGUUAGUUUAGGGAUUGCUGUUUAGUCUGUUUUAGUAAAAAAAAAUAAAAAAAAGUAUAAAAAUGUUUUUUGUGUGUUUGUAAUUUGUUUUAGUUGUGUGUAAAACAUGCAGCAUAUGUAUAACUUGCAGGAGACAUAUGCCUUCUUGGCGUCAGACUCUGACGCCACUGACACUGCGUCAGAUUUUGACCCAGGUCAGUUUUCUGACACGUCUAGUCAAGACGACAUGUCAUCUGUGUGUGAGCCGGCUGAAGAAAGAAGCUGUGCUUCCUCUGCUACGCCGAAUGUGGAGGAGGACUGGGUACCUCCACAGUUAGCCGAGCCCAACAUCCCCCCUUUUAGUGCCAACGCAGGCAUUAAUGUUAAUGUGGAUGGCUUCUCCCCAACUAGAAUUUUAGGGGAUACCAUCUGGGAGGAGAUUGCUUCACAGACUAACUUGUAUGCUACCCAUUUUUUUUAUAACAAUCCAGGUAGCUAUACAGUUGGGGAGCAUGACUGGCAUCCCACAGAUGUCCCAGGGCUUAAAAAAUUCUGGGCUCUUACAAUGCUCAUGGGGAUUAUAAAGAAGCCAUCGAUUCGCUCAUACUGGAGCACCAACCCAAUAAUGUCUAGUCCAGUAUUCUCCCAAACCAUGCCUAGAGCCAGAUACAAGUUACUGCUGAGAUUUUUACAUUUCAUUGACAAUACCCUCUGUCACUCUAGAGAUCACCCCCAAUACGAUAGGCGUCAUAAAAUACGCCCACUGCUAGACCAUUUUCAGGACAAAUUUUCAUAUGUUUAUACCCCCCAACAAAAUGUAUCCAUAGAUGAAUCGCUAAUGAAAUACAAAGGGAGAUUAGGGUUCAGACAAUACAUCCCCUCAAAGCGCUCUAGGUAUGGCAUAAAACUGUACAAACUGUGCGAGAGCGAAAGUGGAUACACGUUUGCCUUUCGUGUAUAUGAGGGGAAAGAUGGUCAAUUGGACCCUCCUGGCUGUCCUGACUCCCUGGGGACGAGUGGGAAACUUGUAUGGGACCUACUAAACCCCUUGUUUAAUAAAGGUUACUACCUUUAUGUGGAUAAUUUUUAUAGUAGUGUCCGUCUGUUUAAAACACUUUAUGGUUUACAGACACUGGCCUGCGGCACUGCCAGAAAAAAUUCCAAAGACUUUCCAACAUCUCUAAUAGAGGCAAAAUUUAAAAAAAGGCAAAUGUAAAGCACUUCACAAAGCUGAAGUGCUUGCACUAAAAUUUAGGGACAGGAAGGAUGUCAACAUGCUAACCACCAUCCAUGUUGAACGCAUGUCAGACAUCUCUGUCCGGGGCAGAGUAGAGUCCAAACCGGUUUGCAUCAGGGCGUAUAACAAGUACAUGGGGGGUGUUGAUUUGGCUGAUCAGCUGAUGCAGCCAUAUCUUAUUUUACGAAAAACCAAAGCAUGGUUUAAAAAGGUGGCUAUCUAUCUGAUGCAAAUAGCAACCCACAACUCAUUUUUACUUUUUAAAAAAAUAAUCCAAGGAAAACCGCCAUUCUCCAGUUUGAGUUGAAAAGAAUUUCUUUAACAAUUUAUGGAGAUGGACAAGUUCCAACAACGGUGCAAGCUGAGUGCAGACAUUUUAUUUUUAAGUUACCGCCAACUGCUAGAAAAAAAAACCCCCAGAAACGUUGCCGGGUCUGUUUUAAAAACGGGAAAAGGACAGACACCCCUUUUCACUGUCCUGAUUUCCCUUUGAAACCAGGACUGUGUGUAGGAACAUGUUUCAAGCUGUACCACACAGAACAGUUGUAAGACGUGUUCCUAAAUUUUUUUAUUUUUUUUUGUUUCUUUGGAAAGCAGCCAUUUUUUGUUAGUCAGUUUCCUUCCCCCAAAUCUCCAGUUAGAUUCUAUUUGCAGGAGUCAGUUUAAAGAUUGCUGCUAAAUGUACAUUUGCUACCUGCACAUUUGGUCUAACAAGUUUUCUGUCAGUAACACAUAACCAGCUGGCCAAAACCAGAUGACGUGUGCAUAAAAACCAGAAUUAAAAAAUUACCACUACACUUUCUUUGGGGGGCAAAAUGGUUGGGGGAAAGAAGUCAAAACACCACAUCUUCUAUAACCUUUGAUGUUUACUUUAUAAAAAUAUAUACUAUAUAUACUGUCAUGAUGGUAACAUUAACUGGGGGGUGCAAAAAUAUGUCAAACUGAAGAUAGACCAAGCAUACAUAUAUAUCAAGUUGAAAAACUGACAUGUACAAGUUCUGAUUGUUGCCUUUUGGCCCCCAAACAACUCAGCAACCCUAUAUAUUGGGGGUAUCACUGUACUCGGGAGAUGUUGCUGAACAUAUUGGGGUGGUGUAUGGCAGUGACACAUAACAGGAUCUGUUAAUUCAUGCCUAAAGUACAAUGUGUGUGACAAAGAAACAAAAAAUGAUUACUACCCAAAAGUUUGACAAAGGCUGGUGGUAGAAUUCAGAGCAUGAAAAGUGUUAAAAUACCACCAUUUAAAAUACCUUGGGUUGUCUACUUUUCAAAAUAUAUGGUUUGAUGGGGGUAAAAUACAUUGGCCGGCUAUAAAAAUGUCCCAAAUAGGACAUGCAUGCAGGUUGACUACAUGUCAAAAUUCCAAGCUGGGAAACUGAUAAGCGCACCUACCAAAAGUGGCCUCUUAGCCCACCAACAACCAGACACACCUAUACAUGGGGGGUAUCCCUGUACUCGGGAGAUGUUGCUGAACACAUAUUGGGGUGUUGUUUGGCAGUAACACCUAACAGAAUCUGUAAAUUUAUACCUUAAUUGCAAUGUAUGUGGAAAAUAAAUAAAAAUAAACUACCUAUGCAAAGUUUGGCAAAGGUUUGUGGUUAAAUGGCUGCAUAGAAAGUAUCAAAAUAUUCUUAGAUGAAUAUACCCUUAGAUGAAUAUAUACAUGUGGGGUGUUUUUUUGGAGAUUUAUGACAUAACAGUGUUACAAUGUCACUAUUGAUUCAUUUGAAAAAUGUACAUUUUGAAACAACAAUUUCCUACUUGUACUUAUAGCCCUAUAACUUGCAAAUAAAAGCAAAAAACACAUAAAAAUUGGGUGUUUUUAAACUCAGGACAAAAUUUUUAAUCUAUUUAGCAGUUUGUUUCAUUCAAUUUUGUAGAUCAGUAAAAGAUUUUUUCAGUAGAAGUCAAAAAACUUGUUUUUAAAAAAAAAUUUACCAUAUUUUAUUAAUUUUUUUUAAAUUAAAUUAUAUGACAUGAUAAAAAUAAUAGUAUGUAAAGAAAGCCCUUUUUGUCCUGAAAAAAACAAUACAUAAUUUGUAUCGGAACAGUAAAUGAGAGAGCGGAAAAUUACAGCUAAACACAAACACCACAAAAAAGUGUUAAAAUUGCUCUGAUCCUUAACAUACAAACAUCGCAAAAACAGUCCGGUCUUGAAGAGGUUAACAGCAGUAAAAAUUAGUUUAUUACUUUCUCUUAUUUGUUCCUUUAGAUUGUUUACCGAUUUGGACAGCAUUUGGCAUUAUGUCUGUGGCUUUUGUGUUAUCUGUCACCAUUAAUAUUGCAUACUGCAUCAUUAAACAUAAAAGAGGUAAGUGUUUGUCUGCAAAACUUUAUUUUUAAAAUAGUUAUACAAAUGUUUAAUAGUUAAAAAGAGCAAAAAAGACAUCCCUACUAUAAAUAUAAGCCAGGUCUUUGUAAAAGUCAAUAACUCAUUUAUUCAUUUAAAUGAGAAGAAGCAUAAUUAAAGGGAAACUAUAGACAUCAAAACAAAUUUAGCUUAAUGAAUCGGUUUUGGUGUAUAGAUCAUCCUCAUGUAGUCUCACUGCUCAAUUCUCUACCAUUUAGGAGUUAAAUCAUUUUGUUUAUGCAUCACUAGUCACAUCUCCCUGUGACUUGCACUGUGCUCCUAAACACUUCAUGUAAAGAGUCAUAUAUUGUGUAUAUACUGUACUUCAUUCAUUGCAAAUUUUGAUUAAUUUAGAAUUUCUUAUCUCCUGCUCUAUUAAUAGCUUGCUACACCCUGAAGGAGCCUCCUGUGUGCAAUUAAAGUUCAAUAUACAGAGCAGGAGAUACAAACUUUUAAACUAAGUUACAUCUGAUUGAAAAUCAAACCAUUUUGUUUUCAUGCAGGCGGUGUCAGUCACAGCCAGGGUAGGUGCGGCUAGGGCUGCAUAAACAGAAACAAACGUGAUUUAACUCCUAAAUGACAGAGAAUUGAGUAGUGAAACUGUAGGAGCAUGAUCUAUACACUAAAACUGCUUUAUUAAGCUAAAGUUGUUUUGGUAACUGUAGUGUCUCUUUAACAGUGCAAAACUGGGUAGAUAGGUGUCACACAGGAGAAUUUAUGUGUAUUUGUGUAUCUGUAUUUCUGUCAGUGUGUGUGUGGGUGUGUGUGUGUAUCUGUAUGCCUGUCAAUGUAUGUUUGUGUAUCUGUAUGUCUGUCUGUGUAUCUGUAUGUCUGUCAGUGUGUGUCUGUGUGUGUAUUUGUAUGUCUGUCAGUGUGUGGGUGUAUCUGUAUUUUUAUAUGCAGUUUUAUAGCUUUACUUGGAAAGUGUGGCGUUAAAACCUAUUUGCGGUCUGAAUAAGUUAUCCUAUUUUCAUUUUGGCCCCUACCGAUUGCCAAGUUGUGCAGGUCUGCCUUAAUGUAUAAUUGACUCCAACCCACCUCCUUUCUUCCAGUUUUUUCCCCUCAAUGUUCUUCCAACUUUUUUUUACAACCACAGUUCAACUGUGCAAGGUCUUUACGACCAAGAGAAUCAAUAUUUUUCUCUAAAUUUCUCUCCCUAUCUCUUUUUUUUCUCUCUAUCAAGUAUUCACUUCAAAAUACAUAAGGACAUACUGUACAAAUAAAAUACAAUUACACAUUAUUACAUUGGCCUUUUUACGGAAAAUACAUUCAUAUAUUCUGGAAGGUUAUACCAUGCGUGCAUAGCUUUGUGGGAGAACCUGCAUAAACCACUUCCUCUUUAUAGUGAAGAAUUGAAAAUGGUGGUGAAUGAAGGUCAUACAGCAUGGGUCGUCAACCUGGUCCCUACCGCCCACUAGUGGGCGUUUCAGGAUUCCAGGUGGGCGGUAGGAAUUUCCUCAUUUGGAGAGAUUGGGCGGGCGGGCGGAUGCGAGCCGGCGGUACCACUGCGACCGGGUACCGCCAUCACCAUUUGUAUGUCUUGUGUGUGUGUCUUUGUAUGUAUGUCUUGUGUGUGUCUGUAUGUGUCUUCGUAUGUAUGUGUGUCUUAUGUAUGUGUCUUUGUAUGUAUGUCUUGUGUGUGUGUAUGUGUGUCUUGUCUUUGUAUGUAUGUGUUGUGUGUGUCUUGUCUUUGUAUGUAUGUGUUGUGUGUGUACGUAUCUUUGUAUGUAUCUGUGUCUUAGGUAUGUGUCUGUAUGUAUGUGUGUCUUGUGUCUGUGUGUCUUUGAAUGUAUGUCUUAUGUGUGUGUCUGUGUGUGUGUAUGUUUGCAUGUAUGUGUCGUGUGGUGUAUGUGUGCCUGUCUGUUUGUAUGUAUGUGUCAUGUGUGUGUGUGUGCCUGUCUGUGUGUCUGUAUGUGUCGUGUGUGUGCCUGUCUGUUUGUAUGUGUGUCUUGUAUGUGUACCUGUCUGUUAUAGUGGGCUAUAGUAAGUGGGCUACCUAGCUCAGCCUUCCUACUGGGCAUUGCUAUAAGUAAGGUUACAAAAUAGAAAAAAGGGGGGGAAAAAAGGUGGGGAGGGGAAUUGAGGAGGAAGAGGAGGGAUGACGCACAGAUGAGAAAUCAUAUUAUGCACAAACAGAGAAGUCGUCUGAAUAUCACCGAAAGAGGAGACCUUUGUUUGUUACUUACGAAAAUCGAACCAGAUAUCAAAUAUUUAGUCUCGCAGCAUCAACCUCAAGGAUCUCAUUAAUCACUAGUAAAGGUAAUUUCAAUUUACUUUAUUGUUUUCUCAUUAAACUUUAUAAAGUUAAAAACAUUAUAAACAUGCAUUAAGUAGAAAUAAAAAGAUAAAUGUACGUACAUUUAUUUUUUUUAAACGCCCUCCUUUCUAAAAAAUAUUCCGCACUUGCGCGAAAACUGGUGGGCGGUAAGGACAUUUUUUCAUCAAGGAAGAUGCAUUAGUGGGCGGUAGGAAGAAAAAGGUUGACUACCACUGUCAUACAGGGUGAAAAGGAGACAAACUGGACUAAGCAUAAUUAGGUAGUUUGGAAACUUUCUAGAGCAGUGUUUGUAAUCCAGGUACACACGGAUUGGAUUUUUUUUAGUGUUUUAACAUAGUGAUAGAUUCUAUAAUCACAUUGUAGGACAAAUGAGCAUACCAAUUUAUAUAAACAAGCUUAUUGACUGAAGUGAGAAUUGUCAGGAAUUCAAAUAAAAGUUAAAUUGAAAAAGUGAAUUUCAAAUGUAAGACUAAAAUAACUUAACUGGAAGUAUAGAUCAGAGACAAUAUGGGUUUACUUCAUGGAAAUCAUGCCAAACUAAUCUUAUUGAUUUCUUUUGAUUGGGUAAUUAAAAUAAUAGAUCAGGGUGGUGCAGUAGACAUUGCUUACCUAGAUUUCAGUAAGGCUUUUGACACUGUUCCACAGGCUUAUCAAUAAACUGCAAUCUUUAAGUUUGGAUUCCAAAAUUGUUGAAUGGGUAAGGCAGUGGCUGAGUGACAGGCAACAGAGGGUUGUAGUCAAUGGAGUAUAUUCGAAGCAAGGUUUUGUCACCAGUGGUGUACUUCAGGGAUCUGUACUUGGACCCAUUCUCUUUAAUAUUUUUAUUAGUGAUAUUGCAGAAGGUCUUGAUGGUAAGGUAUCUUUUUGAUGAUGGUACUAAAAUUUGCAACAGGGUUAAUGUUGCAGGAGCGAUAAGCAAAAUGGCAAAUUAUUUAGGAAAAUUAGAAAAAUGGUCAGAACUGUGGCAACUGACAUUUCAUGUGGAUAAGUGCAAGAUAAUGCAUCCUGGGUUUAAAAACCAAAGGGCAGAGUAUAGAAUAUUUGAUAGAGUCCUAACCUCAACAUCUGAGGAAAGAGAUUUAGGAGUAAUUAUUUCAGAUGACUUAAAGGUAGGAAAACAAUGUAAUAGAGCAGCUGGAAAUGCUAGCAGAAUGCUUGGUUGUAUAGGGAGAGGUAUUAGCAGUAGAAAGAGGGAAGUGCUCAUGCCAUUGUACAGAACACUGCUGAGACCUCACUCAGAGUAUUGUACACAGUACUGGAGACCGUAUCUUCAGAAGGAUAUUGAUACUUUGGAAAAAGUUCAUAGAAGACCUACUAAACUGGUUAAUUGAUUGCGGGAUAAAACUCACCAGGAAAGGUUAAAGAAUCUUAACAUGUAUAGCUUGGAGAAAAGACAAGACAGGGGGGAUAUGAUAGAAACAUUUAAAUACAUAAAGGGAAUCAACACAGUAAAGGAUGAGACUAUAUUUAAAAGAAGAAAAACUACCACAGCAAGAGGAAAUAGUCUUAAAUUAGAGGGGCAAAGAAUAUCAGGAAGUAUUACUUUACUGAGAGGGUAGUGAAUGCAUGGAAUAGCCUUCCAGCUGAAGUGGUAGAUGUUUAAGCAUAAGGCUAUAUUAACUGUAAGAUAAGGCUAGUGACUAAUGAAAGUAUUUAGAAAAUUGGGCAGACUAGAUGGGCCGAAUGGUUCUUAUCUGCCGUCACAUUCUAUGUGUCUAGAUGACAGAGAUUAUUUCCAAUUCAUCUAUUACAACUCUACUACACACCACAACAGAUUUCUUUUUUUUUGGGUAGGGGAUUAGGUCAGGGUUAAUCAUGUGGUGGGUGGUCUGUUAAUCGGUGUCCUGAAUAAUGUGUAAUAAGGUGUAACAUAUAUAUUUAAAAAAAAAAAAAAUCACAAUUAGAAUAUUGCAUCUCUCUGGCAGGAAAAGAAAUGAAAUACAGUAAAGAAUGCACUAUAAG